AUUGAACGCUGGCGGCAGGCCUAACACAUGCAAGUCGAGCGGAUGAAGGGAGCUUGCUCCUGGAUUCAGCGGCGGACGGGUGAGUAAUGCCUAGGACUCUGCCUGGUAGUGGGGGAUAACGUCCGGAAACGGGCGCUAAUACCGCAUACGUCCUGAGGGAGAAAGUGGGGGAUCUUCGGACCUCACGCUAUCAGAUGAGCCUAGGUCGGAUUAGCUAGUUGGUGGGGUAAAGGCCUACCAAGGCGACGAUCCGUAACUGGUCUGAGAGGAUGAUCAGUCACACUGGAACUGAGACACGGUCCAGACUCCUACGGGAGGCAGCAGUGGGGAAUAUUGGACAAUGGGCGAAAGCCUGAUCCAGCCAUGCCGCGUGUGUGAAGAAGGUCUUCGGAUUGUAAAGCACUUUAAGUUGGGAGGAAGGGCAGUAAGUUAAUACCUUGCUGUUUUGACGUUACCAACAGAAUAAGCACCGGCUAACUUCGUG
rnacentral:rRNA from 1 species